GGAAACCGAAGCCCCGCAAUAAACAGGUUCCUAAAAACAACAGCUUCACCAACCUUGGGCGCAGGUACCGCCUCAUUCCUAGGUGCUCUUCCCAGCCCCUUAGGAAAGAAGUUAUUCUCCUCGAAAGACGCAAUGUCUCGCGGAGUCACUUGGGAGCGCCCGAAGUAAAGAGUAGGAAUGCAUUGAACUUUCCCCCCAGCAGCCGUCUCUGACCUCGAUUCAACCUCGGCAUCCUCCUCCUCCUCCUCCUCAGCUUCGCUAGCCUCUUUCCCCCCUUCCUCCUCCUCCUCUGCCUCCUCAUCAAGAUACAGCAUGAACUUCGAUCUCUACUACUUUUUUUGCGGCAUGGCCCUGUUCACCUUUACCUUCGUC
rnacentral:lncRNA from 1 species